GCGUGCUUAACACAUGCAAGUCGAACGGUGAAGCAGAGCUUGCUCUGUGGAUCAGUGGCGAACGGGUGAGUAACACGUGAGCAACCUGCCCCUGACUCUGGGAUAAGCGCUGGAAACGGCGUCUAAUACUGGAUAUGAGCUGCGAUCGCAUGGUCAGCAGUUGGAAAGAUUUUUCGGUCUGGGAUGGGCUCACGGCCUAUCAGCUUGUUGGUGAGGUAAUGGCUCACCAAGGCGUCGACGGGUAGCCGGCCUGAGAGGGUGACCGGCCACACUGGGACUGAGACACGGCCCAGACUCCUACGGGAGGCAGCAGUGGGGAAUAUUGCACAAUGGGCGAAAGCCUGAUGCAGCAACGCCGCGUGAGGGAUGACGGCCUUCGGGUUGUAAACCUCUUUUAGCAGGGAAGAAGCGAAAGUGACGGUACCUGCAGAAAAAGCGCCGGCUAACUACGUGCCAGCAGCCGCGGUAAUACGUAGGGCGCAAGCGUUAUCCGGAAUUAUUGGGCGUAAAGAGCUCGUAGGCGGUUUGUCGCGUCUGCUGUGAAAUCCCGAGGCUCAACCUCGGGUCUGCAGUGGGUACGGGCAGACUAGAGUGCGGUAGGGGAGAUUGGAAUUCCUGGUGUAGCGGUGGAAUGCGCAGAUAUCAGGAGGAACACCGAUGGCGAAGGCAGAUCUCUGGGCCGUUACUGACGCUGAGGAGCGAAAGGGUGGGGAGCAAACAGGCUUAGAUACCCUGGUAGUCCACCCCGUAAACGUUGGGAACUAGUUGUGGGGUCC
rnacentral:rRNA from 1 species